rnacentral:rRNA from 1 species
UACGUAGGUGGCAAGCGUUGUCCGGAAUUAUUGGGCGUAAAGCGCGCGCAGGCGGUCCUUUAAGUCUGAUGUGAAAGCCCACGGCUCAACCGUGGAAGGUCAUUGGAAACUGGAGGACUUGAGUACAGAAGAGGAAAGCGGAAUUCCACGUGUAGCGGUGAAAUGCGUAGAGAUGUGGAGGAACACCAGUGGCGAAGGCGGCUACCUGGACAGAUACUGACACUGAGGCGCGAGAGCGUGGGGAGCAAACAGG